GAGGAGUGAGGCUGCCAAAAAGGGGGUUAGGGUUGAUUUUUUCUCCUCAAAUCAAUUGUUGGUGUCGGUGAUUGAACGACCAUUGGUUAGAUUUGAACUUUCAUUUCCUUUGUUUCUGAACUGGAAUGGGGUCGAUGGGACCAUGCUUUGUUGCACGUUCAAAUGAGUGAUUUCAGAGAUUGGUAAUCCCAUAGCGUGUUUUCCCCUCAUCUCUGUCACACUUAACCUUUCUCUAACCCUUUCUCUUUCACUUUCUUUCAGACUCUCCCUUUCUCUCAACUCUUCAUCUCUCUCAACUUUAGUCCUAACCCUAAUUUGUUCUUUCAUUCCUCAAUUUUCUCCAUCCGAGCAAUGAAAAAUCUGACUGGGUUUUCAGAUUAUUAAUGCAGAGGGAUUCACGGACAGAGAAGGGAGAGAGAGAGAGAGAGAGGGAGAGAACGAUUACACAGAGACAAGGAGAGAGACAGAUAGAAAGAUCGCAGAAAGAGGAGGAUGACGAAAAUUUAGGAGGAACCCAUGUCUGCAGAGAGCGAGACAAAAAACUACUAGGGAAGGAAGAGACUGUUAAGAAAGUAAAACCCAGACCAGAGAAGACAAGCAAUGGUGGAGGAACCAAGGCUGUAGAUCUUUGAUAAAAGCACUGCCAAUAUCAUCGCUCUUUCCAUUCCUUUAUUUUUUGAUUAGGGAUUUGCAUAUUGGUAAAAGAGAGGAAGACAUUGGCUACUGUGUUGGAUAUGUAGAUAUUGAAACAUGCAUAAAUUCACUAGAAAUUAUUCAUGUCUAUGUCCCAAAGGAUACAAACAUGAAGGCAUGGAUGAAAAGAGUUGUAUCAAAGACAACAAACGGUCAAAGGCCAUUCUCCUCAUUAUUUCAUUAGAUCAAAGAAGGAAGUUCAAUUUAUCAAGGAUCAAGGUUUGGACUACUAGACAGAACGCCGCCUUCGGUUUGAGGUAUGGAAGUUUCGAGUUUGCAAUCUGGCCGAUUGUGUGUUUAAAUUUCUGGUUCCCAAAUAAGAAAUAUGCUUUAUUUGAUCCCGAAUAAGAAAUGACAUGGGUAUGUGGCUUUCAUCGUUAUUAAGUUGUAUCCUUUUCUACUUGGGUUACAAAAAAGCAUUAAAAUGAAUCAAUCAAUUUUUUUAUUCUAAGGAAAUAUG